AGGAUUAACGCUGGCGGCAUGCCUAAUACAUGCAAGUCGAAUGGGGAGCUUGCUUCCCAUGGCGAACGGGUGAGUAAUACGUAGGUAACCUACCUUUAGGACGAGGAUAACCUUUGGAAACGAAGGAUAAUACUGGAUAGUAUAGAUUUCCGCAUGGAGAUAUAUUUAAAGAUUUAUCACCUAGAGAGGGGCCUGCGGUGCAUUAGCUAGUUGGCGGGAUAAAAGCCCACCAAGGCGAUGAUGCAUAGCCGGACUGAGAGGUUGUACGGCCACAAUGGAACUGAGAACGGUCCAUACUCCUACGGGAGGCAGCAGUAGGGAAUUUUCGGCAAUGGGCGGAAGCCUGACCGAGCCAAUGCCGCGUGAAUGAUGAAGUAUUUCGGUAUGUAAAGUUCUUUUAUCUAGGAAGAAAAAACAAAUUGACGGUACUAGAUGAAUAAGCUCCGGCUAACUACGUGCCAGCCGCCGC
rnacentral:rRNA from 1 species